ensembl:rRNA 5S_rRNA 5S ribosomal RNA
GCUUACGGCCAUACCACCUUAGGCACGCCCGAUCUCGCCUGAUCUCGAAGCUAAGCAGGGUCGGGCCUGGUUAGUACUUGGAUGGGUGACCGCCUGGGAAUACCAGGUGCUGUAAGCA